rnacentral:rRNA from 1 species
GUGCCAGCAGCCUCGGUAAUACGAAGGGGGCUAGCGUUGUUCGGAAUUACUGGGUGUAAAGGGUUCGUAAGCGGUGCGGCAAGUUGGGAGUGAAAUCUCUGGGCUUAACCCAGAGGCUGCUUCCAAAACUGCUGUGCUUGAGUGUGGGAGAGGCGCGUGGAAUUGCAGGUGUAGCGGUGAAAUGCGUAGAUAUCAGGAGGAACACCGGUGGCGAAAGCGGCGCGCUGGACCACUACUGACGCUGAGGAACGAAAGCUAGGGGAGCAAACAGGAUUAGAAACCCGCGUAGUCC